UUUUAUGUUUACCACCCUGAACGCACCCGAUCUCAUCUGAUCUCAGAAGCUAAGCAGGGUCGGGCCUGGUUAGUACUUGGAUGGGAAACAUAAAAU
rnacentral:rRNA from 1 species